CGCUCGCCGUACCGCAGCCAGGCGGCGGCCAGGAGGCCCACGCCCACGUGGGCGCCGAGCAGGAGCCAGGCCAGUUCGGGUCUGGGGUGCGCGG
rnacentral:tRNA from 1 species